CAACAGUUCGGCAUGCGAACCACAUAAGUCUAAUCUGUUCGGGGAAUCCCAUUUACCGAACCAGAUAAGGGAAAAGACAUGAACAAAGCCUUUUCACGGUCCUGAACCAGGUUUAACACAGGGGUCAUAGUCCCAGCAGGAGGCUGGCUAGCAGGCCCCUCCAGAAGCCCGUGGCGAGGCUCUGUUUGCCACACCCUCCAUUUAAUUCUGGACACCACAUCAUAAAGCUUUG